CACCUAAUUCACAUAUGAGCAAUGACAGGAUGGCCAGGGGAGAUUAUGAAAUUUUCAACAUUUAAGAAGGAGAGUGGAUAUUCCUUGAAAUGAAUGUUGUUGAACACAGCAGAGAUGAACUAAGACUGUGGGGGAAGCUUGAUCACAUUUUUUUGGGAAGUGUCACUUUGGUUGGAAGGUGUUCCUAAACCAAUUUCUGAAUCUCUUUCCAUACUGGCUUUAGUUCUGAGGCACACAGAGCCUCCCUCAGCUUUUGGGCAGAGUCCAUUUGAGACACAUCAUAGGAUCCAUGUGGAUGAAGGCUUAUUUGCUAAAAUCUACAGGGACAGAUAUGAAGGAUUAAUCAGUACUGAUGUAUGCUACAAUAUAGGUGAACCUGGAAAACAUUAU
rnacentral:lncRNA from 1 species